rnacentral:siRNA from 1 species
GUACUCACUUAUUCAUGUGGUCUA